rnacentral:rRNA from 1 species
AGCGAACGCUGGCGGCAGGCCUAACACAUGCAAGUCGAACGAACCUUUCGGGGUUAGUGGCGGACGGGUGAGUAACACGUGGGAACGUGCCUUUAGGUUCGGAAUAACUCAGGGAAACUUGUGCUAAUACCGAAUGUGCCCUUCGGGGGAAAGAUUUAUCGCCGUUAGAGCGGCCCGCGUCUGAUUAGCUAGUUGGUUGAGGUAAUGGCUCACCAAGGCGACGAUCAGUAGCUGGUCUGAGAGGAUGAUCAGCCACAUUGGGACUGAGACACGGCCCAAACUCCUACGGGAGGCAGCAGUGGGGAAUCUUGCGCAAUGGGCGAAAGCCUGACGCAGCCAUGCCGCGUGAAUGAUGAAGGUCGUAGGAUUGUAAAAUUCUUUAACCGGGGACGAUAAUGACGGUACCCGGAGAAGAAGCCCCGGCUAACUUCGUG